CACACACACAUGAGGAGGCAAUGCCUACUACUCCCAGAUAUAUUAUAAGUAUCCUCUUAACUGUUGCCAUAUCUUCAUUGCUGUUCGAGCGAAGCAGACUCACAGAAUAUUUCUGAGACAGAAAGACUUCAAGCCAGUAUCAAAACCCAAUAACCAACCCCGGGUCUUCGACAGUGGUGAGUGGGAAAAAGACAUUCUCAAAACAAGGGGCCUAAUGUGAUUGUAGACAAAAGAGAAAUCCUCUGCUAAAAGCAGCUCAGGGGCCAGCUUUUGGUGUGAAAUUUGGUGAUAGAUUUAGUCUGCAACAUAGGGUGGCCACAAUGGGAUUUGAACUCAGUUCAUAAAGAACCACAUUACCUACUGGAAGGCAUCGUGUCCAGUAUUUAAUUCUACCACCUCAAACUAGUAUUUAAAUUAUUGACCCUUGCAUAAUAAAAGUCAAAGUUGACCAUGCCAGAAUUUGAACCCA